UGAUUUAUUUAAAGGGCACUGAGAAGCCACUGGAGUAUUUUACAAAUUGGGGGGGGGAGGGCUUACUGAUCAGAUGUGCAUUCUGAAAAGAUCACCACAGCUACUUUACUCAGAAGGGAUGAGAAACAGUCAAGAGUGGAUGAAGCAGCUGGGGGACCAGAUCUGUUGGAGUGGUCCAGACAGAGGUGCUGACCGGCAGAGGAGGACAUAGCAACCAAUACAUUUUGGAGUGACUUGUAGAAAAUGGCAAUAAUCAUCUUGAAUUGAAAGAAAUUUGGCUUUUCCCAUCCCUUCGGCAUCCUUAAGAUUAGCCAUGCUCUCUUGAAAAUACUGCUCGGCCACAUCUGAAGAAGAACAUCGUAACAACAUUUGAAGAUUGCUUGCAGAUUUGAAAUGGAAACAGAAUAAAUAUGCAUUUAGUGGUGGUGAACUA